GAUGAACGCUAGCGGCAGGCCUAACACAUGCAAGUCGAACGGUAACAUGAGUAGCAAUACUUGAUGACGAGUGGCGCACGGGUGCGUAACGCGUAUGCAACUUACCUCUAACUGGAGAAUAGCCUUCCGAAAGGAAGAAUAAUACUCCAUAAUAUUACGAUGUGGCAUCACAUUGUUCUUAAAGCUUCGGCGGUUAGAGAUGGGCAUGCGUCUGAUUAGCUUGUUGGUGAGGUAACGGCGUCACCAAGGCAACGAUCAGUAGGGGGCCUGAGAGGGUUAUCCCCCACACUGGUACUGAGACACGGACCAGACUCCUACGGGAGGCAGCAGUGAGGAAUAGUUGACGCAAUGGAGGCAACUCUGACGCAGCCAUGCCGCGUGCAGGAAGAAGGCGCUACGCGUUGUAAACUGCUUUUAUCCGGGAAGAAACCCCCAGGACGCGUCCUGGGUUAGACGGUACCGGAGGAA
rnacentral:rRNA from 1 species